rnacentral:ncRNA from 1 species
CAAAGGCUUGGUCCUGACCUUUCCAUCUACUAUAAUCAAACUUACACAUGCAAGUAUCCGCAUUCCCGUGAAAAUGCCCCCAGUCCUCUACUAGAGAACAAGGAGCUGGUAUCAGGCACAUAUACUUUAUAGCCCAUAACGCCUUGCUCAGCCACACCCCCAAGGGAAUCCAGCAGUGAUAAACAUUAAGCAAUAAGUGAAAACUUGACUUUGUUAUGGCUAAGAGAGUCGGUAAAACUCGUGCCAGCUACCGCGGUUAAACGAGCGACUCAAGUUGAUGGGUCACGGCGUAAAGGGUGGUUAGGAUUGAAUACAAACUAAAGCCGAACACUUGCAGAGCUGUUAUACGCUUCCGAACGUAAGAAGGACAUCUACGAAAGUGGCUUUAAUACUCCUGAACCCACGAAAGCUAAGGUACAAACUGGGAUUAGAUACCCCACUAUGCUUAGCCCUAAACAUUGAUAGUAUUGUACACCCACUAUCCGCCAGGGGACUACGAGCAUUAGCUUGAAACCCAAAGGACUUGGCGGUGCUUUAGACCCAUCUAGAGGAGCCUGUUCUUGAAACCGAUAACCCCCGUUAAACCUCACCUUUUCUUGCCCCAUUCCGCCUAUAUACCGCCGUCGUCAGCUUACCCCCUGAGGGACCUAUAGUAAGCACAAUUGGCAUAGCCCAAAACGUCAGGUCGAGGUGUAGCCUAUGAAAAGGAAAGAAAUGGGCUACAUUUUCUCACGAAGAAAAUACGAAAAAUCGCACUGAAAUAUGCAUCUUGAAGGAGGAUUUAGAAGUAAGCAGGAAAUAGAGCGUCCUGCUGAAAUUGGCCCUGAAGCGCGCACAUACCGCCCGUCACUCUCCCCGAGCACAUCUAAAAAGUACUUAAAACGCUAUUAUAGCAAAGGGGAGGCAAGUCGUAACAUGGUAAGUGUACCGGAAGGUGUACUUGAGGCAAAUU